rnacentral:lncRNA from 1 species
AGCCUCCUGAGUUGCUGAGACUACAGGCACCCACUACCACACCCCACUAAUUUUUUGUAUUUUUAGUGUAGACGGAGUUUCACCAUGCUAGCCAGGAUGCUCUCAAUCUCCUGAUCUCGUGAUCCACCCGUCUUGGCCUCCCAAAGCACUGGGAUUACAGGCGUGAGCCACCACGCCCAGCCGCCAGGCAAAUUUUUGUAUUUUUCAUAGAGACGGGAUUUCACUGUGUUGGCCAGGCUGAUCUUGAAUUCCUGACCUCAAGUGAUUCACCCGCCUCUGCCUCCCAAGCUUCUGGGAUUACAGGUGUGAACCACCAUGCUGGCCAGCUUUUAAUUUCUUAGGGAAAGCAUGAAAAUAGCUAAUAAUUAUUUUUGGAUAGAGCAGUCUUAAAUGCCUAGAAAUGAGAAACUAAAAAGAAGCAUAAUAUCUUCUAGGGCUUUGGUUGAAGAGCCUUGGGUUUCUUAACCUGCUUCAGGUGCAGAUGGGUUGGAUUGGUUCAUUCCAGUAGGAAACACUUGCUGCACUUCUGAGGUGGUAGGCACACUCAUAGUGAGUGCAUCUGCUAGCUAUUGCUGUGUAACAAACUGAUCAAAAAUUUGAUGGCUGGAAACCCCAACCAUUUAUUUUGUUCAAAAUUUUAGAGGAAAUGAGGUGCAGCUUAACUGAGCGGUUUUGCUCUUGGCUGGGUUCUCAGUGUCAGCUGCAGGUUGGCUAUGUGGUUCAACUUCUGGAGUUAGCUAAAUAACAGAAGGGCAGGGGGUGGUAAGUGGUGGAGCUAAGCUCUCCCUAUGGUGUUUGAUCCUAUAGCCAUGGUAGCUUGGGCUUGUUCUAAUGGAGGUGGCAAGAGUAAAGGAGAGAAAGCAGAGGUGUUCAAGCUGUCAAGGCCAAGUCUCAGAACUAGCACUUCAUUAUGCUUCUGCCACACCAGAUUGGCCAGAACUAAUCACAGAGCCAGACCAGAGUCAAGGGGUGGGGAAUAGAGUCCACCUACUGAUAAGAGGAGCUGUGAAGUUGGGUAAAAAUGGGAUACAGGGGCUGGGUGCGGUGGCUCACGCCUGUAAUCCCAGCACUUUGGGAGGCCGAGGCGGGCGGAUCACAAGGUCAGGAGAUCGAGACCAUCCUGGCUAACAUGGUGAAACCCCGUCUCUACUAAAAAUACAAAAAAAAAAUUAGCCGGGCAUAGUGGCGGGUGCCUGUAGUCCCAGCUACUCGGGAGGCUGAGGCAGGAGAAUGGUGUGAACCUGGGAGGCAGAGCUUGCAGUGAGCCGAGAUUGCGCCACUGCACUCCAGCCUGGGCAACAGAGUGAGACUCCAUCUCAAAAAAAAAAAAAUGGGGUACAGGGAGGGCUGAGGAAUUCUGGCCAUUUUUGCAAUCAGUCUACCACAUCUUCACUCUGGUUUGCCUGGGAUACUUUGAUUAUACCAGUGGUUGUGAUAUCCUAUCUCAUUUAGCAUUAGUUCUAGACAAAAGUGCCCUGAUAAGGACUUUGAAUGAUAUGGGCAUCCUUAUUGUAAGGAGCACCUUCCCAUCUGUUUUGUAGAAAUGGCUGGUUUAGGAGAAGGAAGGGACCAUAAAUUUGCAGAAAAGAAAUAUACAGUGUUCUCUCAGGCUUUUUCUUCUAAAUUAAACACUUUAGUCUUUGUAAUUGAAGGGAAUUUCUGCUUCACUUCUUUCAUUUUCUGCCUAAUUUGUCCAUUUUAUAUUACUUUGCUGCUUCUCUGCUCAUUUUUCUACUUCUUCAUGCUUUGUCACCUCUAUCCUGUAUAUAAAAGCAGAUCAUAAUGCUUCCAGAAUAUUUUAUUUUGAAUAGAUACCUUUUCCUACCUCUCUGUCCUUAACAUUUUCGUUUUGAAUCCAAAAUGAUUUUUACUGUGCUCUACAUUUGUGUUAACAUUACACUUUCCCAAAAGUAAAUUUAAUUUAUAAAAUAUUUAAUUUUUAAUUUAUCAGGGCUUUCUAGUCACUAUCAUCAGAACUGAAGUUAUAAUUUCUAAAGCUCUCAGAGAACUACCAGCCUGUUUCCUGUUUCCACCUGUAACUUCUUUUUGACAUGUGUAGAUCCUUUUUAUACAUGCCCGGCAGCAUUUUGCAUGGGGCCUUAAUUAAAAUCCAGAUGAGGAUUGUCUGCCAAAUGUAUCAUUUUGAAAAUUUCUCCCAAUGCAUAUUGAAAGGGAUCUAGCUUAUGUAUGACUGGGACACAGCUGGAGAAGAACAUAUCUCUUUUUAAAAAGGAAAGUUGGAUGCUGAAAUCACAGAUUAAUUUACCACUGUAGAUAGAGGCAUUCAGACUGUGCUGUUUGAAUUAAGACUAAAAAGAAACAAGAAAUGGCAAUUAUUAUAACAUUUGAAUUUUUGUACAUUCAUAUAACUUUAUCAAUACCCUUUAUUAUUUACCAUUUGUUUCUUUGAUGUGACCCAUUCAUCUUUAGAAAAAUAAACUGAAAUAUAGUCAGUCAACUCUUAAUGUCAUUUUCUUUCUCAUUUAAAAUCUCCAGUUCCAACAUUUGAGCUGAAAUAUAAAUUUACAAGCAUUUAUAAUCUUGUAAAUUUGUAAGUUAUAAGCAUCUCACCCUGUAUAUUUUCGUUUCCCCAAAUACACAAUGCAUGCCAGAAUCAAAUUCAUUAGCUGUCUUCUCUCAUACCUGUAAAUCAUCUUCUCUCUGCAGGGACACCAUUUGUAUCAGGUUGCUUGGAAAUUUUAGAUGUAUCUUUGAGUCUUUUGCCUUCAUUCUAUACAAGUUGUUGACCAAGUCAUGUAUUUUCUCCUGCUGAUGCCUCAGAACAGCCUCCUUCAAUCUCACAUGUAGUCCUUAGCAUGGAGGCAUGUGUAGCCUGUAUUCCAGCAACCUCUCAAGUUUCUUCCUGUCCAGUCCUCCCUCUGUUAUACUUCCAGAAUAGCUUUCCCAAAGUAUCGGGGGAACCAGCCCCCAAUAUUUCAAUGUAGGUUCUUUUCUAUUUUCCCUAAGUGUCGACUGGUCUGAGAAAUAAAGGGAAAGAGUACAAAAGUGAGAAAUUUUAAAGCUGGGUGUCUGGGGGAGACAUCACAUGUUGGCAGGUUCUGUGAUGCCCCCUGAGCCGCAAAACCAGCAAGUUCUAAUGAGCGAUUUUCAAAGGGGAGGCGGUGUACGAAUAAGGUGUGGGUCACAGAGAUCACAUGCUUCAAAGGCAAUAAAAUAUCACAAGGUGAAUGGGCAGGGCAAGUUCACAAGGCCAGGGCAAAACUAGAAUUGCUGAUAAAGUUUCAUGUCCCACUGUGCAUGCAUUGUCAUUAAUAAACAUCUUAACAGGAAACAGGGUUCAAAAGCAGAGAACCGGUCUGACUAGAAUUCACCAGGCUGGAAUUUCCUAAUCCUAGCAAGCCUGGGGAUUCUGCAGGAGACCAGGGCAUGUUUCAUCCCUAUCUACAACUGCAUAAGGCAGACACUCCCAGAGCGGCCAUUUUAGAAGCCUCCCCCUGGGAAUGCAUUCUUUUCCCAGGGCUGUUAAUU